rnacentral:rRNA from 1 species
CCUACGGGAGGCAGCAGUGAGGAAUAUUGGUCAAUGGGCGCAAGCCUGAACCAGCCAAGUCGCGUGAGGGAUGACGGUCCUAUGGAUUGUAAACCUCUUUUGUCGGGGAGCAAGUCCCGCCACGUGUGGCGGGAAGGAGAGUACCCGAAGAAAAAGCAUCGGCUAACUCCGUGCCAGCAGCCGCGGUAAUACGGAGGAUGCGAGCGUUAUCCGGAUUUAUUGGGUUUAAAGGGUUCGUAGGCGGAAGGUUAAGUCAGCGGUCAAAUGUCGGUGCUCAACACCGGCCUGCCGUUGAAACUGGUCGUCUUGAGUGAGCGAGAAGUAUGCGGAAUGCGUGGUGUAGCGGUGAAAUGCAUAGAUAUCACGCAGAACUCCGAUUGCGAAGGCAGCAUACCGGCGCUCAACUGACGCUGAGGCACGAAAGCGUGGGGAUCGAACAGGAUUAGAUACCCGAGUAGUC